UACGGGAGGCAGCAGUGGGGAAUAUUGCACAAUGGGGGAAACCCUGAUGCAGCGACGCCGCGUGAAGGAUGAAGGAUUUCGGUUCGUAAACUUCUAUCAGCAGGGAAGAUAGUGACUGUACCUGACUAAGAAGCCCCGGCUAACUACGUGCCAGCAGCCGCGGUAAUACGUAGGGGGCAAGCGUUAUCCGGAAUUACUGGGUGUAAAGGGUGCGUAGGUGGUUUGUUAAGUCAGAUGUGAAAGCCCGGGGCUCAACCCCGGGACUGCAUUUGAAACUGGCAAACUAGAAUACAGGAGAGGUAAGUGGAAUUCCUAGUGUAGCGGUGAAAUGCGUAGAUAUUAGGAGGAACACCAGUGGCGAAGGCGACUUACUGGACUGUUAUUGACACUGAGGCACGAAAGCGUGGGGAGCGAACAGGAUUAGAUACCCUGGUAGUCCWCKCUAUGACGAUGAAUACUAGGUGUCGGGGGUCGAACCUCGGUGCCGCAGCUAACGCAAUUAA
rnacentral:rRNA from 1 species